rnacentral:lncRNA from 1 species
GUUCCCGGCCCUGUCUGGUGCAUUCCCCCUGCUGCUGCCCGGUCGGCCGAGAAAGUUCCGGGCGACAGGUGGCCCGAGGCCCUCGAGCUGCGCGGACAGAGCGGCCCCGGAGUCGCGAGCGUGACGGGCUUGCUUGGAGGGCACUUGGUGGCCGGUAGCACCAUAAAGGCCAUAAUUUGGUGUGUGGGUGUGGGGGUGUGUGUGUUAACGGCAUUGGUUUGAUUCACACUUCUGAUGAAAGAAGCCUGUUUAAAAAAGAAAAGAAAAAAGAAGCCUGUUUAAAGGGUGCAGGGUGUUACGAUUGUUAACGUGCAGUGGGCAGUUCACCUGCUACGCUAUCCAACAGGCGCCCUGCUCAGGCCCGACCUCGCACUGCCGCGCGGGCCGGUCCCCCCCGGCCCGGGUAACUGGGACGUCCUGGGAAAAUAAAUUAAUCACGUACGGAGUGAGAGAACAGGAAACCUGCCGAGAAAAAGAUCGAUAAGCAGACAAUUACACCAAGCCAACUUCAGUGCAAUCGUUAAAGCUUACACAUGGGUGCACGCUUGGGAGCCGUGAGCUACCAUGUUAAAAGGCCAACUUCCUAAGGAAAAAUGAUGGAAAGAGAUCCCGAGAUCCUAUGAAAUGGAAGAGGGAGGACAACCCAGCUAUCCCAACAUCCCAGCUGAGGCCAGCCACACACGUGACUGUCUGCAAAGCCCGUCGGGCCUGGGUCCAGCUCAGGUUGCAGAAUUGUUGGCAAGUAAAACGUUUGUUGUCGUUCUGACUCAAAAACAUGGAGACAAAGCAGACUUGUAGGGUAUUACAGUCAACAACUAGACCCUACAGCUAAAGGACUGUCUCCUUGCAUGAUGCAACAACCAUCACAGCUCUGCAAGAGCAACCAAACCACCAAGGAUGCGAUCACCCCUCACUGCCUUCGAUACGCAUUCUGUGGAAACGCUUCUAAACUUGCAUCACACUCAACACGAUCAGUUAGUAACUGGCUUCUCAUGAAGUUAUUCUCUCAGCCGCAUACUACAAUGUCCAGAUGUCAUCUAAAUCCUGCCACCCUCUCCCCCACCUUCAGCUGAAACGCUGCAUGACUGCAUCAUCUUACCUGACCAGCUCUCUCCUAGGACAGACAUGCAAGAACCCCCCUCACUAACGCUGAUGUUAUUUGGUUUACAGAUGGCUCUUACUUAAAGAUGCAGCUGGAAGAUGGAGUCUCGCUCUGUUGCCCAGGCUGGAGUGCAAUGGCGUGAACUCCACCUCCUGGGUUCACGCAAUUCUCCUGCCUCAGCCUCUUGACUAGCUGGGACUACAGGCACCCGCCACCAUGCCGGGCUAAUUUUUUGUAUUUUUAGUAGAGACGGGGUUACACUCUGUUAGCCAGAAUGGUCUCGAUCUCCUGACCUCGUGAUGUGCCCGCCUCGGCCUCCCAAAGUGCUGGGAUUACAGGCGUGAGCCACCGCGCCCGGUCCAGCCAUCUUUCUUAACGUGCAUACACGAUGUGACUCACUGGAGCCCUGAUAAGAUUAUUGAUUUCUUGAGGAGAACAAUGUUGUCGGAAACCUUCUCCAACUGUUGCUCACGGGUAUACAGUCAGGGCUGUCUUCCCAGAAUAUAAUGCAAGGAAACCUUGACCCAGUUCUCCAUGUCAUUUUCCUUUACCAGAAGGCCCUUUCGAGGUAUGGCAACUAGAUUUUUUCAGCUACCACCAUCACAAAGAUACAGGCACAUCCUAGUGAUGGUUUGUGUAUUUUCUCAUGGGUAGAAGCAUUUCCAUGCAGAAGAGCAGCAGCCUUGGCGUGAGCUCCAAGAAGCAAAAACUCAAGGAACACAUACUUCAGCCAGGAGACUUUGUAGGAAACAGCAUCCUUUAAAGGACUUUCUCCACCAAGGAGGAAGGAACCUUAUCAGGGACUCCUAACCAACCCUUGUGCCACUAAGCUUAAAGGAGUUGAUUCCUGGAUACCUGCCACCCAUGCAAGGAAAGCUGCUUUGUCAAUUUGGACUUCAUCUCAAAUUGGUGAUCUAAAACUAAAACUCUCCAGAACCAACAAGGAUGAGAAGAAAACAACAUGUGAGGCGAUCAGCCUUCUCAAGACACCUGACCAGGCCUGUAUCUAGACAAACCCUUAAUAUAAUCAUCGUCAGUAGAUGAGGAAGGUCUUCCUUUACAAGUUCCCACCACACUUCCUUCUUUUUGUCCCUAGUUCUUCUGUUUUGUUGCUACCAUCACCAGCCAUUGCCCAUGAAACAAACAUCUUCUUGCAGUAGGCUUGGGCCUGUGCUAGUAAAUUACAGGACAACACUCGUUAGGUGUGUGGCCUUGCGCCCCUUUCUGGUGGUUCUGGCCUACCAUGGUGGCAGCUCCUCUUCAAGGACAAGAGUAGACAGAAUAUCAGAAAUGUGUCUGUGUUUCUCAGGACAGUCAUUGGUGCUUAGCACUAGUAUGAUGAAGGCAAGUGUGCAUCACUGGCCUAUGAAUGAUACUUUACAAAGCAAAAGCCAUAGGAAGAGCUUUCCAGUAAAAGUCCACAUACCUUAAUGCUGGUACUACACCAGCUGAGAGAUUAGACCACUCAAUAUCGGGAUGGCAUAACACAAACUUGGGAUGGUUUCACCUGACUUACCCUCUCUUUGGGUCAACUUAGUUCACGUGCCCCUUUACAUUGGGAACAAAAGAAUCAUAUCAAAGAUCCCUGGCCCAGGAGCACUGGAGAUACGGGAUGGAACCCAGAGAACAGUGCAUCUACACCAUUGUGUUACAGAGUCCUGGCUGGCAUGCCACUGAGUGGGCAUAGUGACCGGGUGUUUACUGGUUGGCUCCAGAUGGAACAUCUGGACUCUGUGAUAAUGACCUAUGGCCAUGGUUACCCCCAAGGUGGCCAGGACACCAUUCUCUGCAUUAUGCCUGGACAUAGGAUGGAAUAGUUCACAACCGACAUAGAUAGUAGAUAAAACUAGGUAGUCUGAAUAAUUCAAAGUAUGGACUUUGAUUCAUAAUGCUUCAAUACUGGUUCUUAAAUGUAACAAACAACACACUUUUAAUCUGUGCAUUGUGAGGUGCUGAGCGAGAGGGGCCGGCUGCCAGGUGCCGGGUGGUGGGUGGGUCAAAGGCCAAACGCAGGUUCCACCAGGCAGGUGUCACUCCCGGCAGGAGUAGAAACCAGAGGCCUCACUGAGAGUGCCAGCCCCCACCCUGGUGUUUCAUUUUCCCCCACGGCACUGGGUGAAGGUUAGGUGUGUCUGUGAAGACAGCAGUGAAGGGAUACUGUCUCACUGCCCAGAGAGCCCCUAACAAAAGGUUUCUGCCAUUCUAUGGCCCUGGAGUCAGGGGAAGAGAGAGAGGGAGGCAGCUGAGAGUGGAAAAGUGCUGAAUGCAAAGUCAGAGUGGGAAAAAUGUCUUCCAGGCCCCCUGAAAAGGAGGCUUUGGCAGAGGUACCUAAGACAGGCCUCAGCCAAGGGACCCAUGUGGUCUCGGAAGGGAGGUGCCUGGGUUGGGCACAGGGGAUACCCAGGGCACCCAGGUCCUUCCCCGCAACAGCCUUCAGACACGGCAGUGCACUGGCCACACACCAUGAGGCAGCCAGGUGGGGCCUUUGUCAUCACCCGUGGUCAGACCUGAAAGAUCCCACAGGGCAUUUGGGCUGCAGCCAGCCAACUUUCCAGGCAGCAUGUUGCAUUCCAACUCUGUUUCAAUAAAACUAGUUUCGAAAAAGAAAGAAACAUUUCAAAAUAUUGACGGGAUGCUGCUAAGUUUUGAUCGUUGCAUUAGAAAGAAAGAGAUUAAAGGAAUAGUUUAAGCUUCCGCACCAGGAAUCUAGAAAAGGAAAACCAAAUCAAGCUCAAACUAAGUAGAAGGAAGGGGAGUGAGAUCAGAAUGGAUGCUGGGCGCGGUAGCUCACACCUGUAAUCCCAGCACUUUGGGAGGCCAAAGUGGGUGGAUCACCUGAGGUCAGGAGUUUGUAACAAGGCUGGCCAACAUGGUAAAACCCCAUCUCUACAAAAAUACAAAAAUUAGCUGGGCGUAGUUGUACGCACCUGUAAUCCCAGCUGCUCAGGUGGCUGAGGCAAGAGAAUCACUUGAACCCAGGAAGCAGAGGUUGCAGUGAGCCACGAUGACACCACUGCUCUCCAGCCUGGGGGACAGAGAGAGAGACUUUAUCUAAAUUCCAAAACUUUGGGAGGCCAAGGGCAGAUCACCUGAGGUCAGGAGUUUGAGACCAGCCUAUCCAACAUGGUGAAACUCCAUCUCUACUAAAAACACAAAAAUUAGCCAGGCAUGCUGCCGCGUGCCUGCAAUCCCAGCUACUCGGGAAGCUGAGACAGAAGAAUCCUUUGAAACUAGUAGGCGGAGAUUGCAGUGAGCUGACACCAUGCCACUGCACUCCAGCCUGGGUGACAGAGCAAGACUCCAUCUCAAAAAAAAGAAAAAAAAAGAUCCGAAUGGCAAACAGUGACCUAGAAAACAGUAAGACAAAUACGGAAAACAGAAGAAACUAAAAGAAGUUGAUUCUAGGAAAACAAACUGAUCAGAUUUGCUAGACUGGACAAGCCAAAAGGAAAAGAAAAAAACAGAAAUAUGCCAAAUCAGGAAUAAAAGAAAUAACAUACAAGGGUCCAUGGUGAAACUAAAAAUAUCACAAAGAAAUUUUAAAAUGUUUAAAAAAAUAGAUAAUUUAGAUAAAAUGGACAAAUUCCUAAAGAGACAUAAAUUAUGAGCACUGACCAACAAUGAAUAGAAAAUUUGAACAGAUGUAUAAGUAACCAAGUUGAAUUAUAGUUAACUACAUGCCCACAAAGAAAAGAUCUGAGCCAAAUGGCUUCAUUGGUGAAUUUUCUCAAAUGCUUAAGAAACAAAUGAUAUCAAUCUUACAGGAAAUAGAGACAAAAUAACACUUCCCAAAUAUUUUACAAGGCCAGUAUUAACCUGAUACCAAAGCCAGGCAAACACAUCAUAAGAAAACUAUAAAAUGAGAAAGGUACAACUUUUUAACAAAGUGAUUGCAGAUUAAAUCCAGCAACAUGACCAAGUGGGGUUUAUCUGAGGAAUGCAAGGUUGGGCUAACAUCUGAAAGCCAAUUAAUGUCAUAACUCCUCAAUAGAAUAAAAGAAAAAAUCCAUAUGACCUUCUAAUAGCCACAGAAAAAGCAUUUGACAAAACCAACCCUUUCAUAAUAAAAACUCCCAACCUAAGACUACAAAGAAACUUUCACAACCUGAUAAAGGUCAUCUAUAAAAUAAACCUGCAGCUAUCUAAGUUUCAGAGAAUCAUCUUUUUGUCUUAUUUGUUUCCUCUGUUAUGUCUCUGCUUUUAUUUCAUUAAUCUCUUCAUUAUCUCCUUCAUUCUGUUUGCUUUGGGUUUAUUUGCUCUUCUAUUUCUAGAUUCUUGAGGUGAACACUUAGGUUAUUGUUUGAGACUUUUCCUCUUUUCUAAUGUAAACAUUUAGUGCUAUAAAUUUCUGUCUAAGCACUGCUUUGCUGAGCUUUUGAAUUUUGAUAUGUUGUAUUUUCAUGUUUAUUCUGUUGAGUGUACUUUUACGUAUUUCUCUUGAUCCUUAUUCUUUGACCCAUGGAUAAUGAAAAGUGUGUUAUUUCUUUUUCAUGUGUUUGGAGAUUUUCCUGUUAUUUUGUUGUUGAUUUCUAGUGGGGGUAAGAGAAGACAGACUAAGAUUUUAAUUCUUUUAAAUAUGUUGAGGUUUGUUUGAUAGUCAGAAGUGGUAUAUCUUUUUAUAUGUUUUGUGGGCACCUGAAAAGAAUAUAUAUUCUGCUGUUGUUGAUCGCCAUGUUCUCCAAAUACCCAUUAGAUCCAGUUGAUUGUUCAUAAGUUGUUCUCUGUCCUUGUGAAUUUUCUGUUUAGUUGUUCUAUCAAUUGGCGGGAAAGGAGAGUAGGGUCUCUAACAAUAAUUGUGGAUUGCUGUUUCUCUUUUGAGCUCUAUCAAUUAAUACAUUUUUUUUUUUUUGAGACAGAGUCUCGCUCUGUCACCCAGGCUGGAGUGCAGUGGUGCAAUCUCAGCUCACUGCAAGCUCCACCUCCCGGGUUCACACCAUUCUCCUGCCUCAGCCUCCCCAGUAGCUGGGACUACAGGCACCCGCCACCACACCCAGCUAAUUUUUUUGUAUUGUUAGUAGAGACGGGGUUUCACCAUGUUAGCCAGGAUGGUCUUGAUCUCCUGACCUCGUGAUCCACCCGUCUCGGCCUCCCAAAGUGCUGGGAUUACAGGCAUGAGCCACCCUGCCCAGCCAAUUAAUACAUUUUGCAGCUCUGUCGUUUAGUGUAUAUAUGUUUAAAAUUGCUAUGCCAUCUUAGCAAAUUGACCUUUAUCUCAUUAUAUAAUUGUCUUGGCUCUGAAGUCUACUUUAUCUGAUAUUAAUAGGACUGCCUCUUUUGAUUGUUUGCAUGGUAUAUAUAUUUUUCUAUUUUUUUCCCCUUUCAUUCUACUAUGCGAUUGUGAUUGAAGGAUAGACAGCAUAUAGUUGGGCCAUUUUUUUUAAUGCUGCCUUCUAAUCUCUAUCUUCUAGUUGGUAUAUUUAGACCAUUUACAUUUGAUGUAAUUUGAUAUGUAAGGCUUGAGUCUGCUAUUAUAUUUUUUGUUUUCUAUUCAUUCUCUGUUUUCCAUUUCUCUCUUUUUUGUGCUUUCCUGUGAAUUAUUUGAACAAUUUUUUUUAGAAUUCCAGUUUGAUUUGUCCAUAAUGUUUCCCAGUGCAUCUUUUUUGAGGAGUUUCUUUAGGUGCUACUUUACAUGUACAUAACUUAUUUCUGUCUACUGCUGUUGAUAUUUUAUGGUGUGAAUGAACGCAAUCUCCUUUUAUGUCCCUUUACAUUCCCCUGUUUAUGGUAUAAAUAUUUCCUCUACAAACAUUGAGAACCACGCUAAAUGGUGGUACUGUCUGUGCCUCAUAUAUAAUUUAGAAAACUCAAGAGUAGAAGAGAGCCUAUUGUAGUUAUUCAUAUUUUCAUUCUUUUCAUUGUACUUUCUUCCUGAUGUUUCGUGAUUCUGUCUUUUUCAUUUCCUAUUUCAAGAACUACCCAUUCUUUUGGGAUAGGUAUGAUGGCAGCAAAUUCUUUUUGUUUUCCUCCAUGUGAAAUAUCUUGACUCUCCUUUCAUUCCUGAAGACUAUUUUCACAAGAUAUAGAAUUCUGAGUUAACACUUGAUAAAUGUUGUGCCACUUCCUUCUGGCCUUUGUGGUUUGUAGUGAGAACUUUUCUUUCAUUCAAAUAGUUUUCCCCUGAUGCUAGGAUGUUAUUUCUCUCUGGCUGUUUUCAAUAUUUUUUUUUCUUUGUCUUCAGUUUUUCGGAGUUUGACUAUGAAAUGUCUUGACAUGGUUUCCUUGAGUUUGUUCAGCUUCUUGAAUCUAUAGGUUUAUGUCUUUUGCCAAAUUUGGGGAUUUUUCAGACAUUAUUCCUUGACAACUUUUUAGUCCUAUGCACAUUCUGCUCUCCUUCUAGAACCCUGGUGAUGUGGAUGUUAAUUAUUUUGUUAUAGUCCCAUGGGUCUCUGAGGCUUUCUUCAUUUUUAAAAAAUAUAUUUUCUCUUUGUUGUUCAGAUUGAAUGACUUCUAUUAUUCUAACAUUUCCAGACUUCUAUUUUGGGUAAUGAAAGACUAGUUAAUUCAGACCAAUCCUCCCAUUUCAAACACAUGAAACUAGUGGAUACAAUAUAAAAACCAUAUGUUCAAAGGUACUGGAACAUAACGCAGUGAAAAAACCUGGGAACCAAGAUUUGGGAGAAUAAGAACAUAUAGAAGGAUGACCUUGGCAUUUGAAAUGCUUUUCCCCCAUGGAUUUCCUCCAAUUUCCAGAAGAAAUGGCUGGGAUACUGACAAGCUGAAACUUACUUUAAACUUACUUCUGAUCUUACAAAAACAAAAAUUGGAGUUUAUGGCAUGAUAAGGAAGAGAGUGGUGGCUGGUCUGUCAGCCUGACUAAUGGGCUCUUAAGGUUGCUUAGGGAUCUGGGUUGGGAACUGAUGGUAAAAUUGCAGAAUACAGACUAAGCUGUAAAUAGAUUGUCCUCUUUAGGGAUUUGUGCUCAGCUUUAAAUUAUCUUAACUUAUGAUUGGAUUAAGAUGGUGUGCAGGAUUGCUAGUGCCCCUAGUACUUGCAAGAAUCAAACAUAAAUCCCCAUUAGAGAAAUAAAACUUCAUUCUAGCCUCAAAGUACCUCUAUAAGCUUUCACAUAGUGUCUCAGUCACACAAUACAAUUUAACCAGUCAGGUGAGGAGACAACGAGUGUUUUGGAAAACCAAGAGAAACAACAGAAAACUAGAAAGAGAUUUACAGGUGUUACAGACAAUGCACUAUGAAUAAGAUGCUCAAGGGAAAUCAAAGAAAAGAUUGGGAAUGUUUGGCAAAGAAUUUAGAGAACAACAACAAAAAAAAGCCAGUAGGAACUCUAGAACUAAAAAACAUUAACUGAAAUUAAAAAUCAACGUGUGACCUUAACAGCAGUUUAGAUACAACUAAAAAAAAAAAUGGUGGUGACAUGAAGAAAACAGACACAUGAAAACAUGCUGAGAAAAGGAUUUAAAAUAUGAGAAAGAAUAUGAAAUACAUAGGGGACAGAGUGAAAAAGCAUAACAUUCAUAUAAUUGGAAUCCAGAAGGAGGGGAGAGAGAAAAUGUGUCAGAGACAAUAACUGAAGAGAACAUGGCCAGUGACACUCCCAAUAUGGCAAAAGACAUCAAGGCAAUGAUAAAAGUGCCACAAACCACAGCCACACUUGCCUAAGGAAAGCCAUGCCGAGGCAAAUGUAAGCAAAAUCCUCGGAGAGCAAAAACAGAGACAGUCUUAAUAGCCAGAGGAAAAAAGAGGUUAUCGUCAAAGGCGCACCAAUUAACCUGAUAGUUGAUAUUUCAGCAGAAAGAAAACAUAGAGGCCAGAUGAAGAUGGAAUUAUAUUUCCAAGUGCAGAAAGAAAACAACUGCCAAUCUAGAAUUCUAUACUCAGCCUAAAUAUAUUUUACAAAGAAAGAGAAACAAAGGCUUUUUUAGAAGAACGGAAAUGAAAAAGAUUUACCACCAGCAGAUUUAUAGUAAAUGAAACACUAAAGACCAUUUCCUUCAGGCAGAAGAAAAAUGAUACUAGAUGAAGGCUAGCACUGUAGGCAGGAACACACAACAGUGGAUGCCAUGAAUACAGGAUAAAUAUGAAUGGAUAUUGAUUAGAAAAAACAAUGUCUUAGGUUUAACAUAUGCAAACUUAAAUACAUAACAAAAAUAACUCACCAAUAAAGAAGACGGUAAAUAUUAUUAAAGUGCUCUGUUACCUUUGAAAUGUCCUAAAAGAGGUAAAAGUACCAUUUAUAUUAAACUUUGAUAUGUCAAGGAUAUUUGUUGUAGUUUCUAGGGAAACCAUUAAGUGAAGAGUGAAAAUACUGAUAACUACCAAACUAAUAAAGAGUAAAUUAUCGCCGGGUACGGUGGCUCAUGCCUGUAAUCCGAGCACUUUGGGAGGCUGAGGUGGGCGGAUCGUGAGGUCAGGAGAUGGAGACCAUCCUGGCUAACAUGGUGAAACCCUGUCUCUACUAAAAAUACAAAAAAUUAGCCGGGCAUCGUGGCGCACGCCUGUAUAGUCCCAGCUACUCAGGAGGCUGAGGCAGGAGAAUCGCUUGAACCUGGAAGUUGGAG